AAGUCGUAACAAGGUUUCCGUAGGUGAACCUGCGGAAGGAUCAUUACCGAGUUAGGGUACUCUUCGUGCCCGACCUCCAACCCUUUGUCUACCUGACCAGAUGUUGCUUCGGCAGGCCCGCCGCCCCGCAAGGGGCAGCCGCCGGGGGUCCUUACCGGCCCCGGGUCCGUGCCUGUCGAUGGCCCUUCUAAAACUCUUGCUUAAACGUGUCGUCUGAGUAAAACAAACAAAAUAAAAACAAAA
rnacentral:misc_RNA from 1 species